AAGCCACAACAUGAUGAGAAUGGAUUUCAUAUCUCACGACGGUCAUCUGAGUGCACCUAUGAGUGUUUCCUUUGAUGAAUGCUAUCCUAUAUCUCUGAUGAUU